rnacentral:rRNA from 1 species
AACCCUUGUCCUUAGUUACCAGCACGUUAUGGUGGGCACUCUAAGGAGACUGCCGGUGACAAACCGGAGGAAGGUGGGGAUGACGUCAAGUCAUCAUGGCCCUUACGGCCUGGGCUACACACGUGCUACAAUGGUCGGUACAAAGGGUUGCCAAGCCGCGAGGUGGAGCUAAUCCCAUAAAACCGAUCGUAGUCCGGAUCGCAGUCUGCAACUCGACUGCGUGAAGUCGGAAUCGCUAGUAAUCGUGAAUCAGAAUGUCGCGGUGAAUACGUUCCCGGGCCUU